AACCGCAAAGGGCUCAGUAAACCAGUUUUAAUUUACUAGAGUUUUUACGUUUCGUACGUGGAUACCUGUGGUAAUUCUAGAGCUAAUACAUGCAAUUAAGUCCUGACCAGAAAUGGAAAGGACGCUUUUAUUAGAUCAAAACCAUUCGCCCGACUAGCUCGGGCGUUGUUUUGGUGAAUCUAGAUAACACUUAAGAUCGUACAGUCUUUGUACUGACGACAUCUCUUUCAAACGCCUGACUUAUCAGCUGUCGAUGGUAGACUUUGUGUCUACCAUGGCCCUCACGGGUAACGGGGAAUCAGGGUUCGAUUCCGGAGAGGGAGCCUGAGAAACGGCUACCACAUCCAAGGAAGGCAGCAGGCACGCAAAUUACCCACUCCCGGCACGGGGAGGUAGUGACAAAAAAUAACGAUACGGGACUCUAUUGAGGCCCCGUAAUCGGAAUGAGUACACUUUAAAUCCUUUAACAAGGAUCCAUUGGAGGGCAAGUCUGGUGCCAGCAGCCGCGGUAAUUCCAGCUCCAAUAGCGUAUAUUAAAGUUGUUGCGUUUAAAAAGCUCGUAGUUGGUUCUGCGUGCCGCGCUGUCGGUUCGCCGCCUGUCGGUGUAACUGGCAUGUCGCGGCAUGUCCUGUCGGUGGUAAACGGGGUCCCCGGCGCUACUAGCGGCUUUACAGCUGCUACGUUUGUGCCGUGCGUGUCCUCGUUUGCCGAUCUCCCUACUCCGGUGCUCUUAAACGAGUGUCGAGGUAGGCCGACACGUUCACUUUGAACAAAUUAGAGUGCUUAAAGCAGGCUGAAAUAUCUGCCUGAAUAGUGGUGCAUGGAAUGAUAAAAUAGGACCUUGGUUCUAUUUUGUUGGUUUUAGGAAUAUGAGGUAAUGAUCAAUGUGGACAGGCGGGGGCAUUCGUAUUGCGACGUUAGAGGUGAAAUUCUUGGAUCGUCGCAAGACGCACUAGAGCG
rnacentral:rRNA from 1 species